rnacentral:rRNA from 1 species
AACGAACGCUGGCGGCAGGCUUAACACAUGCAAGUCGAACGGGUGUAGCAAUACAUCAGUGGCAGACGGGUGAGUAACACGUGGGAACCUUCCUAGGGGUACGGAACAACUCAGGGAAACUUGAGCUAAUACCGUAUACGUCCGUAAGGAGAAAGAUUCAUCGCCCCUAGACGGGCCCGCGUCGGAUUAGGUAGUUGGUGGGGUAACGGCCUACCAAGCCUACGAUCCGUAGCUGAUCUGAGAGGAUGAUCAGCCACACUGGGACUGAGACACGGCCCAGACUCCUACGGGAGGCAGCAGUGGGGAAUCUUGGACAAUGGGCGCAAGCCUGAUCCAGCCAUGCCGCGUGAGUGAAGAAGGCC